rnacentral:rRNA from 1 species
GCUAGCGUUGUUCGGAAUUACUGGGCGUAAAGGGCGCGUAGGCGGACAUUUAAGUCAGGGGUGAAAUCCCAGAGCUCAACUCUGGAACUGCCUUUGAUACUGGGUGUCUUGAGUGUGAGAGAGGUAUGUGGAACUCCGAGUGUAGAGGUGAAAUUCGUAGAUAUUCGGAAGAACACCAGUGGCGAAGGCGACAUACUGGCUCAUUACUGACGCUGAGGCUCGAAAGCGUGGGGAGCAAACAGG